UGCCUUCAGUUCUACCCAUUCAUCUUGGUGACUAAUGAAUGUGGUGUCAGAAAAGGCAUAAAGCAAGCUUCCCCUUUGCAUCAUCUUCCUCCUCUAGGAAUUGUUCCUAUAGGAAUUGCUGUGGGGGACAUUA